rnacentral:rRNA from 1 species
CCUACGGGGGGCUGCAGUGGGGAAUAUUGGACAAUGGGCGAAAGCCUGAUCCAGCCAUGCCGCGUGUGUGAAGAAGGCCUUCGGGUUGUAAAGCACUUUCAGUGGGGAAGAAAGCCUUGGGGCUAAUACCCUCGAGGAAGGACAUCACCCACAGAAGAAGCACCGGCUAACUCCGUGCCAGCAGCCGCGGUAAUACGGAGGGUGCGAGCGUUAAUCGGAAUUACGGGGCGUAAAGCGCGCGUAGGCGGUCUGAUAAGCCGGUUGUGAAAGCCCCGGGCUCAACCUGGGAACGGCAUCCGGAACUGUCAGGCUAGAGUGCAGGAGAGGAAGGUAGAAUUCCCGGUGUAGCGGUGAAAUGCGUAGAGAUCGGGAGGAAUACCAGUGGCGAAGGCGGCCUUCUGGACUGACACUGACGCUGAGGUGCGAAAGCGUGGGUAGCAAACAGGAUUAGCUACCCCUGUAGUC